rnacentral:rRNA from 1 species
AGCUCCAAUAGCGUAUAUUAAAGUUGUUGUGGUUAAAAAGCUCGUAGUUGGAUCUCAGUUCGAGUCAGGCGGUCCACUUGCCAGUGGCUACUGCUUGACUGAACACUUUAUCGAGUUGUCCUAUGGUGCUCUUUACCGAGUGUCAUAGGCGAUCGGUACGUUUACUUUGAAAAAAUUAGAGUGCUCAAAGCAGGCGUAACGCCCGAAUAAUGUUGCAUGGAAUAAUGGAAUAGGAUCUCGGUUCUAUUUUGUUGGUCUUCGGAAUCUGAGGUAAUGAUUAAGAGGGACAGACGGGGGCAUUCGUAUUGCGGCGCUAGAGGUGAAAUUCUUGGACCGUCGCAAGACGAACUAAAGCGAAAGCAUUUGCCAAGAAUGUUUUCA